rnacentral:misc_RNA from 1 species
GUUUUCAAAUGGAAGAUAGUGCUGACAAUACUCUAUAAACUAACACUAGUGUAUUAUGACACUACAGCUACUCUCAGCUGAUGGAUACAUAACAGCAAAGUCCAAGAAUGAGUAGCACAAAAGAUUUCACAGAUUCAGAUUCUUACAUGUCAACUCCAUGAUUUGGAUGAACUUGAAGUUAUUGCUCCUUUUGAGCGGGUUUAUAUGUAAGAUUCUCUUUUCUAUUCUUUUGCGAACCGUGGAAUUGUAGCAACAGUGAAUUGCUCACCACAAAUAUUGAGCUCAUAGCCAUUAACCCUCCUGAAAGAGAUGGUGUCAUU